UAUUCUACCGUUGCGUUGCACUUUCUUCCAUGCGAGUCGAAGUGUUUGAAAUGAGAGAAAAUGUCGAUUAAUUGUCCAUCUUUGUCGAGUUUGACCACAGAUGAACUUAUUAAAAAUAUAAUUGAAGCUGGCAUACAGAUUAAUGAAGAAGAAGCAAGAAAAUUCAGGGAAAAUUAAGUGGAUGGAUAAACAGUGGAUUGUGGACUCACUCAAGCCAUGGUUGCUUUCCUGUUUGAUGGUUCCUUCAAAAAGCAACUAAAAUUUCAACAGUUUGUACACCAAUACCAGGAGAAUGAGACCAUUGUUGUAUUAGAGCCAGUACCAGUUGAACUCGCUAAGUCUAAGGAAGAACUCCAGCCUCAUCCUUUAACUGAUCCAAGUGGUGAAGCAGCUCAGAGGGAGCCAUCGCCCAAGUAUUAACUUCACAAACUCACUUCCGGUUUAUUUGGGUAUUUAUACAGCAUGCUCCCUCUGUUCAACGCGAAGUAUCGUAUCUGUGUGUUACAUACCAAGACUUGCUGUCCUUGCCUUCUGUCGAGAUUUCUACAUGUAUGACCCUUGCCUGUUCCAUAGUGACUAUGAGUUUCGGUUUUGUGUUCCGUUUCGGGGUUCCUAGUCUUUGCUUUCUGUUGUUGACCUUUUUUGCUUUGCCUUCUCGACUACGGUUAUUGCCUGCUUUGUUUAAAUAAAGAUCUGUGUAUGGAUUCAGACACUCCUGCCUCCGACGAGUCCUUACAGAAUACUUCGCCGAAUAUGAGUCCAGCGGAUCUCCAAGCGGCGUUGUGGCGACGGGUAGUUCUCCUCCAUGCUUACCAGGCGGAACUGGAUUCUUUGAAAGCCGCCAACCAACAACUCCAGCAACAAUCACAGAGCCAAGCAGCCGCCACAGCACCAGUGUUUCGUGAAGAGCUCAACCGGGAUCUGAAAGCAGAAAUGGCGUGCCGACACACAAACAUGAUGCUGUCACAGUAUAUCUCCACGUUGGAUAACCUACGCUGCCAGCAUCGACCUCAAGCCUCCACUUCACGCUCCACUCCUUGCUGUAUGAUGGAUGCCCACUACCCCAGGGAAGACACCUCUGAACCCAUGCAACUGGGACGGACUUGUGAUUCUGAGGAGGAGCUCCAACUCUGCUACUACUGUGGGAAACCAGGUCAAAGAGUCUUUCACUGUCCAGAGAAACCUACCCCAUCACAGGUAGAAACUGUUAAGCUGUUUUCUAAGGUUUCACUUCCUGCUUUCCUACUAGAUGCUGACUCUCGCUUCUCUAUAACAGCGCUAAUUGACUCUGGGUCAGCGGUCAACCUCAUUGACAGCAACCUGGUGCACGAGCUACACCUACCCACCAUUCUGUGCACCCCACCAUUGAAAGUGACCGCCAUUAAUGAUCAGCCCAGUGGGGAGGGCCUCCUUACUCACCAAACAAUGCUCAUGGAAUUACAGAUCAGAUUAUUCCACGUGAAAGACUUACUUUCUUUGUCAUCUCUUCUCCAUCCAACCCUGUCAUCCUAGGCCUCCCCUGGCUACAGCUUCAUGACCCUUGUAUUUCCUGGAAAGUGGGAGACAUACUAAAAUGGUCCACCUACUCUGUAAAGAACUGUUUUCAUGAUUACACUCAAUGCCCAUGUUUGUCAAUCUCCAUUGUAAGCCCUGAGUCUUCCAACCUGAUAACACUCUCAAGGGAAUACCAAGAUCUAGGGGAGGUUUUCAGUAAAGAAAAGGCCACUAAGCUACCUCCACACAGACCCUGGGACUGCACCAUAGAACUCCUCCCCAACGCCAUGCCACCUAAGAGCUGAGUUUACCCUCUCUCUCUCCCGGAGAAAAAAGCCAUGGAGGACUACAUAGAGGAGGCUCUCACAGCAGGAUAUAUCCGGCCCUCAACCUCUCCUGCAGCAGCGGGGUUCUUCUUCAUGGAGAAAAAAGAUGGGGGGCCUUCGGCCAUGCAUUGAUUACCGGGGCCUGAACUCAGUCAUUGUGCCAUACCCUUAGCCUCUUUCCUUAGUUCCAGUAGCUCUCGAACAGUUACAAGGGGCCAAAGUGUUCACCAAGCUUGACCUGCGCAGUGCCUUUAACUUGAUCAGGAUUAGGGAGGGGGAUGAGUGGAAAACGGCGUUUCACACUACUCACGGACAUUACGAGUACUUGGUCAUGCCCUAUGGACUUACUAACGCCCCGGCAGUGUUCCAGUCCCUUAUAAACAAGGUUUUCAGAGACAUGCUACACUGAUAUGUCAUUGCUUACAUAGAUGACAUCUUAAUCUACUCCACCAACCUUGAACAACAUAUUACCCUUGUUUGUGUAGUCCUCCGCCGCCUUGCUGAGCACAAUCUUUUUGUGAAGUUGGAGAAAUGCACCGAAUUCCACCGAUCCUCCAUGAUGUUUCUAGGGUAUGUGAUUUCACAGAAUUGAGUGGAGAUGGAUCAAUCUAAGGUGUCUGCCAUCACAUCCUGGCCAGAGCCCACCAAUAUCAGGGGACUGCAGCGAUUCAUGGGGUUUGUGAACUUCUACUGCCGAUUCAUCUGCAACUACAGCACCAUAGCCAGCCCAUUGACUUCACUGUUAAAGGGUAAACUACAGAAGCUGAGAUGGACUGACCAAGCCAGAGCAGCUUUUCAGAGACUAAAACAAAGCUUUUCCUCGGCUCCCAUACUCUGUCACCCCAACCCGGAGUUACCAUUCACAGUGGAGGUGGAUGGAGCAGUACUUUCCCAAUGCCAACCCGACUCCGGCAAGCUGCACCCAUGCACCUUCUUCUCUAGAAAACUUACACCGGCAGAGAUUAAUUACGAUGUGGGGAACCGGGAGCUACUCGCCAUGAAAGCCACUCUGGAGGAAUGGAGACACUGGUUGGAAGGGGCCAAUCAACCGUUCCUGACCCUUACUGAUCAUCGUAACCUCACAUAUCUCCGUGAGGCUAAACACCUCAAUCCACGCCAAACCCAGUGGGCUCUGUUCUCCCGUUUCAAGUUCUCUGCCUCUUAUCGCCCUGGUUCCAAGAACGGGAAAGCGGAUGCUCUCUCCAGAAUUCACAAAAUCGUUGAACCACCUGCAUGCCCUGAAUCCAUCCUAGGAUCCUAGACUAGGAUCCAUCCAUCCUAGUCUUUCCUAGUAGCCCCAAUAUGCUGGGACAUUCUGGAGGAGAUUGAAUGGGUCCACUCUUCUGAAGCUCCUCCCGCAAAUUGUCCACCCGCCAAAUUGUAUGUACCCACAGUGUUUCACCAGAGAGUAAUCCAGUGGGCCCACGAGAGCCCCAGUAUGGGACACCUCGGCAUCCAUCACACCACCCAGCUGCUGCGUGAAAGGUUCUGGAGGCCGUCUCUCAAUAGAGAUGUAGAGGAGUUCGUCCGAACAUGUCCAGUGUGUGCCCAAUCCCGAACAAACCACCAUCUACCUGAAGGCCUGUUAGAACCACUGCCCAUCCCAUGGCCACCCAGGUCUCACCUAUCCAUAGACUUUCUCACAGAUCUCCCAGAAUCUCAAGGGUUCACUGCAGUCAUGGUGGUAAUCGAUCGGUUUUCAAAGGCAAACUGACCCACAUCUACCCACGUCUAUGGAGACCGCCGAUUAGGAGACAGAAGAUCCAGGUCAACCGCCGGUGACGCCCACACCCGGACUACCAGGUGGGCCAAAGUGUGUGGCUCUCCACACAGAACCUGAGACUAAAAUUGCCCUGCUGUAAGCUCAGCCCCAAAUUCAUAGGUCCAUUUAAGAUUGUUCGCCAGGUCAACCCUGUCUCUUACCAUCUAGAGCUGCCUGUUUUCUAUCGCAUAUCACCCACGUUUCAUGUCUCUCUACUCAAGACCUGUCAUGAGCCCCAGACCCCUGGCCCCGCUUCCCAUGAAUCACCUCCUCCCUUGGACAUUGACGGUUCCCUCGCCUAUCCGGUUCGCGCUAUCCUCAACUCAUGUCGUCGUGGAAACCGCCUUCAGUACUUGGUGGACUGGGAGGGGUAUGGCCCAGAGGAAUGCGGCAGACAUUCUAGACCCAACACUCAUGGAGCAGUUUCACCAAAACUUCCCCAGCAGACCCACUCCUCGCCCACGGGGAUGUCCUCAUUGUCGAACACCAGGAGGUGUUCCUAGAGGGGGGGUUCUGUCACAGUGCAAGCAGAGCCAGAACACCAGAGGGAGCCAUCGUCCGAGUAUUAACUUUAUGAACUUACUUCUGGUUUAUUUGGGUAUUUAUACAGCAUGCUCCCUCUGUUCAAUGUGAAGUAUCGUAUCUGUGUGUUACAUACCAAGCCUUGCUGUUAUUCUGUCGAGACUUCUACCUGUAUGACCCUUGCCUGUUCCAUAGUGACUACGAGUUUCGGUUUUGUGUUUCAGUUUUGGUUCCUAGUCUUUGCUUUCCGGUUUUGACCUUUUUUGCCUUGCCUUCUCGACUACGAUUAUUGCCUGCUGUGUUUAAAUAAAGAUCUGUAUAUGGAUUCAGACACUCCUGCCUCCAACAAGUCCUUACACCAAGUAAGACGUGAUGCCAAGGAACCGUGUCACACAGUGCCAAAAGUACUCAACAAAAUAAUCAGAAUGCUGUAUGAAAUGAUGGCAGAAAACACCCUGUAUUCAACUAAUGCAGAGUAUAUUCAAGUUGCCAAGGCACUGAUUGUGAAAUACCCUUUCCUGAGAGAUAAGGAAGGAUAAGAAGGCUAUGAAACUUGUUGGGGAGAAUUCAACGUCUAUUGAGGCCCAUGUGAACGUGCUACAAAGUAUCGGAAGACAUUUCCAGACAUCUCGACUGUUAAAGACCGCAUGGCACGAACAUUCACCUGGAAACAUCGAGAGAUCAUAGAAGGAAUGUCUGUGGAGGAUGUACUCAAAAAAUAUCCAUACUUAAGAACACCUGCUGCACGGGACCCUGCUACACCCUUUCUAACCAUACAACUGCUGGACGAUGACUGGAAAAUGGCAAUCAUUGGAAGAGGGCUCAGUGUGGUGAAAGUAGAUGGUAUAGAAGUGUGCCAGUGCACCAGCCUUGAUGAAGCCUUCUUAACAGCCUUCUCUAUGUAUUUUGCUUUCAACAUUGCAUAUCCACCACACCUGAAAAACACAUUGACUUUUCUUCAGAGGCGCAUUGUUGACAUUGUGGAAGAGGAAGACAAGCCGCUGCCAGUAACUUUACUCCAGAUGAUUAACCUUUUUUAUUAGAUCCUCAUGCCUCAAAUGUUCCAUUGCCCAAAGUGCAAGUUUGAUUUUAUACAUGUAUAUAAGAAUUAUAUAUGAAAUUUGAUUUUAUAAAGAAUAUCCAGUAUAUUAGUUAAAGUGAGUUGCUAAAGUUCUGUAUUUUACUCCUAGAAGUGGUAAUUGUUUUUACAAACACUUGUUUACACUGCCUAAGCGUUUUUCACAGUAAACUGACUAAUUACUGUUAUUCAGCAUGAUGCUUCUAGUUUUGUUAAGGAAUUGAAACAUUCUACAUGUUAAAUGAAUUUCGUUAAUGUUGGGUGCAGAACAUCCAGUAUAUGAGUUUUGAGAAUGCUCUGUCAUUUUAUACUCAGAAUUCCAUGUUUAUGAUUAAAUUGUGAAAUAUG